rnacentral:rRNA from 1 species
UACGGAGGGUGCAAGCGUUGCUCGGAAUUAUUGGGCGUAAAGGGUAGGUAGGUGGUCUCAUUUGUCUGAGGUGAAAGCCUUGGGCUUAACUCAAGAAGUGCCUCAGAAACGGUGAGACUAGAGUCCUGGAGAGGGUCGUGGAAUUCCCGGUGUAGCGGUGAAAUGCGUAGAUAUCGUAAGGAAGACCAGUGGCGAAGGCGGGUCUCUGGACAGUUCCUGACGCUGAGGCACGAAGGCCAGGGGAGCAAACGGG